GAUCCGUACGUCUCCGUCAUGACUGGACGCCAGCAGGUACUGGUUCUUCCUGUUCCACUUCACCUGAGACGCCCCGGCUGGAAUCGAGAGACGGAGAGGACGGGAUGAAAAGAUAAAACAGAUCAUCGUCAGUUUGUAGAUCAAUAAAGACAAAGAACGCAAACAGGAGCGCUGCACUACAUCCACUGCUGAGAUGAAAGUUACUCCAUCACUACUGCUGCCUCGGGUCUUUUCGAAGCUGCAUUAUUUUCAGGUGGCAACACGUCUGAAGAGCCAAAACAACAAACCAAUGAGCUCAAAGCAAACAUGUAGGUUGCAUGUUUUUGAUGAUGCGUUCAAAGAUGCUCUGAAAUUUAAAUCUCAUCUGCAAAAAGUCAUUUGACUUGCGCUAGGUUCUUUUUUUAUUUAAAUAUGCAGUAAACACCGAACAACGUUCAGAGCACGAGGUCAGAAACAAAAGCACACAAACACCUGGUUGUUCCUGAACUCUUCACUCAAGUCUCUGCAAGCUGACUUUCAUAGAAAUAAACUGAAACCAGUGUCUGCCCGGACGAAAGGAGAUCAAUCUGCAAACUGAUCAACGGGAAUAAAAAGGAAACACGGCCCGGUCCUUAAAAU